AGCGAACGCUGGCGGCAGGCUUACCACAUGCAAGUCGAGCGGAUGUAGCAAUACAUCAGCGGCAGACGGGUGAGUAACACGUGGGAACGUACCUUUUGGUUCGGAACAACACAGGGAAACUUGUGCUAAUACCGGAUAAGCCCUUACGGGGAAAGAUUUAUCGCCGAAAGAUCGGCCCGCGUCUGAUUAGCUAGUUGGUGAGGUAAUGGCUCACCAAGGCGACGAUCAGUAGCUGGUCUGAGAGGAUGAUCAGCCACAUUGGGACUGAGACACGGCCCAAACUCCUACGGGAGGCAGCAGUGGGGAAUAUUGGACAAUGGGCGCAAGCCUGAUCCAGCCAUGCCGCGUGAGUGAUGAAGGCCCUAGGGUUGUAAAGCUCUUUUGUGCGGGAAGAUAAUGACGGUACCGCAAGAAU
rnacentral:rRNA from 1 species